AACGAACGCUGGCGGCGUGCCUAACACAUGCAAGUCGAGCGGGAAAGUUCCCUUCGGGAGCGAGUACAGCGGCGCACGGGUGAGUAACACGUAGGUAACCUACCCUGGAGACCGGGAUAACCUGCCGAAAGGCGGGCUAAUACCGGAUGAGACCACGAGGGCUGCGGCCCUUGAGGAAAAAGAAUGGCCUCUACUUGUAAGCUAUCACUCCGGGAUGGGCCUGCGCGCCAUUAGCUAGUUGG
rnacentral:rRNA from 1 species